rnacentral:lncRNA from 1 species
GAUAAUGUGGGUAGAUUUGUGGAUGUGUCCAUGAAGCCUUCCCGGCCGUCCCGGUCCGUCGCCGGGCAUGUUGUUUAAUCAUUCACUGCAUGCAUGUCUCUCUCUGUUUUGCUUGAGAAAUUGCCGUACACGUACUUCUGGCCUCCAGGAAAAGAGAACUUCUGCACGUUAGAGUCGAGCUUUACUUGGUAAAUUUCUCUUUUGGGAAUGAAAUGGAUGUUAGGGGAGUGAAAAAUGGAUAGAUUGGAACUUGCGAUUGAGCUCGUUGAAUGCCUCGGUCUGCGUCCAAUUUGAGAAGUGAUCUUUGUGGCCGGCCAAGGAGGAUUUCUUGUAUGACGAAAAAGAAACUAGCAUUUCUUGGGCAUUGUGUUCUUUGAAAAAUUAGGGUUUCUUUCUCUUUCCCUUCGAUUGGGCGGAGAUGGACUGGAAUCUUUUUUUAGAAAAAAAGAAAAUGGUAGAAAUGAUUCAUGAAUUUGGACCCGAUGUAUAAUAUCGUCUUUAAAUUUUUAA